UACGUAGGGGGCAAGCGUUAUCCGGAUUUACUGGGUGUAAAGGGAGCGUAGGCGGCUGUGUAAGCCAGAAGUGAAAGCCCGAGGCUCAACCACGGGACUGCUUUUGGAACUACAUGGCUUGAUUGCAGGAGAGGCAAGUGGAAUUCCUAGUGUAGCGGUGAAAUGCGUAGAUAUUAGGAGGAACACCAGUGGCGAAGGCGGCUUGCUGGACUGUAAAUGACGCUGAGGCUCGAAAGCGUGGGGAGCAAACAGG
rnacentral:rRNA from 1 species